AUUGGAAAUGUUGGGAAUAUUCAAGAUUUUAGAACUGACCAAAAUACCCCUAGGUGGCAAGGAUGCUUUUGGCUUAAGCAUGGGCAAAAUGGUCUUUUAGCCACAAGUUUCUUUUGUCCUUUAGUGACUUAUUAAUAGGCUAGUUAAUCUGAUGUAAUUAAGAUAUAUAUUAGAUUGUUAUUAAGAUUUAUCUUUUCCAUUCAAUGAAAUUAGAAAAUCAAAUAUCAAGCUUUCUCUCUCCAAGAAUUCUCUCUCUCGCUCUCUCUCUCGAUCCCUUAGGAAGCCAGCAGAAACUAGGGCUUCUCAACCUCUUUACUUGUUGAUUCUAGCUGGUUUUGACAAAUACUUAGUGAACUAAGUCAAGGUAAAGGCAAAGCUAAGGCUGAGUAGCCGUGAGAGCGAGUGGAUGAAGAUUGUACAAGUUGGGAUGGUUAGGCUUGGAGCGUACGAUCUUUGGGACAUCAUGUUGUAUUUUAAAUGGUCGCUAGGCGACAACUUUUUGUUCGAAUAUUUUGUAACCCAAUUGUAAAUAUUUUAAAUACGGGAUCCCGAUUAUGUAAAAGAUAUUUAUUUUCUUUUAGAGAGUAAUUAAGUAAAAGUUUUAAUUAUU